CCUACGGGUGGCAGCAGUGAGGAAUAUUGGUCAGUGGACGAGAGUCUGAACCAGCCAAGCAGCGUGAAGGAUGACUGCCCUAUGGGUUGUAAACUUCUUUUAUCUGGGAAUAAAACAGGGUAUGCAUACCCUCUUGUAUGUACCAUAUGAAUAAGGAUCGGCUAACUCCGUGCCAGCAGCCGCGGUAAUACGGAGGAUGCGAGCGUUAUCCGGAUUUAUUGGGGGUAAAGGGAGCGUCGGUGGUUUGGUAAGUCAGGUGUGAAAGUUCGCGGCUCAACCGUACAAUUGCAGUUGAAACUGGCAGUCUUGAGUACAGCAGAGGUGUGCGGAAUUCGUGGUGUAGCGGUGAAAUGCUUAGAUAUCACGAAGAACUCCGAUUGCGAAGGCAGCUCACUGGACUGCAACUGACACUGAUGCUCGAAAGUGUGGGUAUCAAACAGGAUUAGAUACCCGAGUAGUC
rnacentral:rRNA from 1 species